rnacentral:rRNA from 1 species
AACCUGCCCAAGAGAUCGGGAUAACACCUGGAAACAGAUGCUAAUACCGGAUAACAACAGAUGAUGCCUAGCAACUGUUUAAAAGAUGGUUCUGCUAUCACUCUUGGAUGGACCUGCGGUGCAUUAGCUAGUUGGUAGGGUAACGGCCUACCAAGGCGAUGAUGCAUAGCCGAGUUGAGAGACUGAUCGGCCACAUUGGGACUGAGACACGGCCCAAACUCCUACGGGAGGCAGCAGCC